rnacentral:rRNA from 1 species
CAGAACCUCAGAUCAGGCGAGACUACCCGCUGAAUUUAAGCAUAUCAAUAAGCGGAGGAAAAGAAACUAACAAGGAUUCCCUCAGUAACGGCGAGCGAAGUGGGAAGAGCUCGAGCCUGAAAUCCCUGGCAGGUACUGUCAGGGAGUUGUGGCCGAGAGAGGCAACUUGGUCUCGACUGAUGCUGUCAAAGUUGACCUGGAAAGGCGCGUCAGAGAGGGUGAGAGCCCCGUACGUGACACCAUCGGUCUGGACUGUAUUGCCUUCGGA